UACGUAGGUGGCAAGCGUUGUCCGGAUUUACUGGGCGUAAAGAGCGCGCAGGCGGUCGUGCAAGUCGCGUGUGAAAGCCCCCGGCUCAACUGGGGAGGGUCACGCGAUACUGCUCGACUCGAAGGCAGGAGAGGGAAGUGGAAUUCCCGGUGUAGUGGUGAAAUGCGUAGAUAUCGGGAGGAACACCAGUGGCGAAGGCGGCUUCCUGGCCUGUUCUUGACGCUGAGGCGCGAAAGCUAGGGGAGCAAACGGG
rnacentral:rRNA from 1 species